GAUGAACGCUGGCGGCGUGCCUAAUACAUGCAAGUCGAGCGAACAGACGAGGAGCUUGCUCCUCUGACGUUAGCGGCGGACGGGUGAGUAACACGUGGAUAACCUACCUAUAAGACUGGGAUAACUUCGGGAAACCGGAGCUAAUACCGGAUAAUAUUUUGAACCGCAUGGUUCAAUAGUGAAAGACGGUUUUGCUGUCACUUAUAGAUGGAUCCGCGCGGCAUUAGCUAGUUGGUAAGGUAACGGCUUACCAAGGCAACGAUGCGUAGCCGACCUGAGAGGGGAUCCGCCAAACUGGAACUGAGACACGGGCCAGGACUCCAAGGGAAGGCGCAGGAGGGGAUCUUCCGGAAAGGGGGGAAACCUGGAGGAAGAACGGCGGGGGGGUGGAGGAGGGCUUCGGAUUGUAAAACUCUGGUAUUAGGGAAAAACAAAUGUGUAAGGAAAUAGGCACGUUUUGACGGUAACUAAUCAGAAAGCCACGGCUAAAUACGGG
rnacentral:rRNA from 1 species